GUACUCACUUCAGCAGCACAUAGGCUAAAACAGAAACGAUACAGAGAAGAUUAGCAUGGCCCCCAUGCAAGGAUGACUCACAAGCUGGUGAAGUGGUCCGUAUUUUU